UACGGAGGGGGCUAGCGUUGUUCGGAAUUACUGGGCGUAAAGCGCACGUAGGCGGUCUGUUAAGUCGGGGGUGAAAUCCUGGGGCUCAACCUCAGAAUUGCCUCCGAUACUGGCAGUCUCGAGUGCGGGAGAGGUGAGUGGAAUUCCCAGUGUAGAGGUGAAAUGCGUAGAUAUCGGGAGGAACACCAGUGGCGAAGGCGACUACCUGGCCUGUUCUUGACGCUGAGGCGCGAAAGCUAGGGGAGCAAACGGG
rnacentral:rRNA from 1 species